rnacentral:lncRNA from 1 species
AACCAGCUCACUACUCCCUGAAGGGCACUUUCAAGAAAGUUCAAUCAAUGGAAGGGUCAAAUGUUUUCUUUUUCAAACGUCCAUUUUGCAUGUAAUGGCUGCUCCAUGCAGAGUUUACGGGUGUUCUCUUGUUCAUGAGAUCUAGCGUCCUUCUGCACAAAUGCAUGUGCUAUGGGGAAAAUGAACUCCCACCCCAGAAACGCAUUUUCUGAAAGGGCUUUAAGAUGGUGAGAGAAACGGCCAGUCAGGAGACAGUUGUGUACACCGAACUCUAGCUGAGGAAACAUUAUAAAAGUUCCCCAGCACCCUCCGGACUUUAGAGAGCUUCCCUGGAGCUAACUGAUGUCCCUCCUCCCAGACAAGCCAUGGUCCAGUCUGAAAAUGGAGAACCAAAAACAGAACCUUUAGCUGGGCACACGGCUGCUGAAUUAAAGACCACAUUUCCCAGCAUCCUUUGAGUGUGGCCAUGUAACUUGAAUUCUGGCCAACGGGAGAAAGAUGCCCAUUGGUGUAGGAGUCUGCCUGAAACAAGACGCUAAGCUGCCUGAGCAGCUAGGCCGCUAAUGAAUGCCUCUCCUCCCCAAGAAGCAAACGCUCCUGCUGCUCCCAGCUGUUUGGUAGGCUCCGACCUGCUACUGUCAGGUAGCAUUGGUCGUACAGGUAACAAGAAGCCACAUCCUGAUUCGCAUCCUCCUCCCAAAACCCUGCAACUUCCUGAAUUCCCGUGCUCCUCAGGCGGGACUUCCUGUUGGAGAUGGAGCUAAAGAAGCUGAAAAACUCCUCCAUCCUUCCUAAGAUAGAUCUCAUUUAUGCAUGAGGUCAGACAAAUUUCCCUAAUGCUGCCCUUGAGGGGAUAUCCAGGGAUAACAAAGGCUGUCUUCCAUGCCUCUCCCCGAAUCCAGAUGUAAACCAGAAAACAUAAAAUAAAAAGCCAAAAAUCAUUCCAAAAAGUCGACAUUAAAUUGACAAAAAGACCACGUGUGUUCUACUUGGCCUGUUUUACAUGGUUUGUCUGAAUUCUCUCCCACCUCCCCAUCCUGCCAAGACAUCAGGGACGUAUUGACUUUCAUUUCCUUGAAAUAGUUAAUUUUUGCAACCAAGGUUCCAAACAGGAGGUUUAAACUGGGGAUCCACUCACUCUGUGUGUAGGUCAUUUAAGAGCUCAAUCUCAUCUUUGAAAUAUAGAUUAGCCAGGAGAGUAUGAGUUCAGCAUUUCUAUGUAAUGUUGUUUCAUUGAUCCUGCAGGCCAACUGGACAUGGCUUCAGACGGAUACCUAAAAAUUAGUUUUAAAACUUUCCC